rnacentral:tRNA from 1 species
GAAUAAAAAACAAUAAAUUUGUAACUGGUUUCGACCCAGUCUUUAGAUCCUCAGAUCUUUAUUCU